rnacentral:misc_RNA from 1 species
GAUGAAGAACGCAGCGAAAUGCGAUAAGUAGUGUGAAUUGCAGAAUUUAGUGAAUCAUCGAAUCUUUGAACGCACAUUGCGCCCUUUGGUAUUCCUUAGGGCAUGCCUGUUCGAGCGUCAUCUACACCCUCGAGCACAGCUUGGUGAUGGGCGCCUGUCCCGCCCCCCACGGGGGCGCGGACUCGCCUCAAAUGCAUUGGCGGCCGGCGACCUGGCUUCGAGCGCAGCAGAAACGCGUACUCGGGGACCGGGCGCCCGCUCCCAGAAGCCAACCCACCCAGUUUGACCUCGGAUCAGGUAGGGAUACCCGCUGAACUUAAGCAUAUCAAUAAGCGGAGGA